rnacentral:lncRNA from 1 species
CCCGAGCCGCCCAGGAGGCUGUAGCACAGAGAGAUCUCCACCCCUCACCUCCCUCUCCUGGGGGAACAUGGUAAACAUCAGAAGGCUUUGGAAGAUUCACAACUAGACUUUGCUUCCUGUUGCAUUUUGCUCAGGGAAGUGAGGGAAAUGGGAGAAAGAGACAGAGUGAUCAACUGAGGCACUCCAACAAACUCAGCUUUCUGCAACCGGGGCUGGCUCUGCACAGAGCUCUGCCAGGUGCCUCCUGGGGGUGGCUCUACCACGCUUUUUCUAGGAGCAAGUCCUUGAGAAACCUACAAUGAAAAGUGGGAGCUACCUACACAGGGCGAACUCUGACGUCAUCCAGGCAUUCCCAAUGGAUCCGAAGACUCGAUGGAAGAUAGUUUUCUGUCUCCCCUGCCAACACCCACAGAAUUCCUCUAACUGGUCUCCUGGCCUCACUCUGCCUCAUUUCCCUUCAUCCUAGAAAACAAUAGCAGAUCAAUGUUUCUGAGGCAAUGUUUUUUUAGCUCUACCAAUGUCCCCCCGACUCAAAAAACCAUUAUCUCACUACCUAACUAAUAAACUCCAACCUCUUUACCUUGGUACUCAAGAUUCCCCCUACCUUUGGUGUAUCUCGCAGUCCUGCCAAACCAAACAGUGCAUGCUGUCCAAACAUACACACUGCGUCCUUCUCUUCUGUCUCCGUAGUAUCAGAUGAUAGCAUUUGAGCAAAGCUGUCAUUUGCUAGCCAAGUGGCUUUUGGAAAGGUCAUUUUACCUCCCUCAGCCUCAGUUUCUGCAUGUAUAAAUUAUGGAUAAGACUCACCUCAAAUUGUUUUUAUAAAGAAUUAAAUUGAAUUAGCUAGAAUAUGCAAAAAUCCCUGGCUCCCUGCCCGACAUGGGGUGCCUACCAAUAAUUAUUCAAAUCUAAAUAUUGGCCUAUGCCAUGCUCUGCUUCCUUUUCCUAUUAAAACUUUAUUCUUGAAAAAU